rnacentral:pre_miRNA from 1 species
UGAAUUAGGGUCUGAUCCAAAGCCCACUGAAGUCAGUAGAAAGGCUCCCACUGACUCUAAGGGGCUUUGGAUCGGGCCUUUUGGACA